UACAGAGGGUGCAAGCGUUAAUCGGAAUUACUGGGCGUAAAGCGAGCGUAGUCGGUUAUUUAAGUCGGAUGUGAAAGCCCCGGGCUCAACCCGGGAAGUGCACUCGAAACUGGGAGGCUAGAGUAUCGGAGAGGUUGGUGGAAUUCUCGGUGUAGAGGUGAAAUUCGUAGAUAUCGAGAGGAACACCGGUGGCGAAGGCGGCCAACUGGACGAAUACUGACGCUGAGACUCGAAAGCGUGGGGAGCAAACAGG
rnacentral:rRNA from 1 species